AUAGAGGAGUGCUCGAAAGAGAGCCGUACACAGGUGCUGCAUGGCUGUCGUCAGCUCGUGUCGUGAGAUGUUCGGUUAAGUCCGCUAACGAGCGCAACCCUCGCUGUGUGUUACAAGUGUCACACGGUACUGCCGGUCUUAAGCCGGAGGAAGGUGGGGAUGACGUCAAGUCAGCAUGGCCUUUAUGUCCUGGGCUACACACACGCUACAAUGGCCAACACAAUAGGUUGCUAAGCCGCGAGGUGGAGCCAAUCCUCAAAGUUGGUCUCAGUUCAGAUUGCAGGCUGCAACCCGCCUGCAUGAAGAUGGAGUUGCUAGUAACCGCAGGUCAGCUAUACUGCGGUGAAUACGUUCCCGGGGCUU
rnacentral:rRNA from 1 species